GAGUGCCUAUUCUGUCAGUGCAUAGGCGGAACCAAUAUCUGCGACGCGAAACCCAACUGUGUGCCAUCCAAGAAGCAUGAUCCUAUCGACAUAAAGUCAGGGAAAAAAUGUACCAUUGGGAUGGUAUACAAGCAAUCGUGCAACAAAUGUUUCUGCACGGAAACCCGCAGCCUCCAGUGCACGUUGAAGAGUUGUCUCAGCAAAGCGCAAUCCAGCCAUACUCACAGGAUUAGGAAGCACUGGGUGGAUUACACGUUGAGAAAUAAAGGGAAGAAAGUUUAAUCAAAGAGGAUCGAAUAUACAUGGUGUCCCAUAAACCAACGCGAUAUUGUCACUUUUUUAACUUUUGUUCUUUACGUUUUAUAAAUUAAACGGCCAAUAUCUCAAA